GCGGGAUUCGUAUAGUGGCAAUACCCUAGCUUCCCAAGCUAGUGCCGCGGGUUCGAUUCCCGCAUCCCGCUCCA
rnacentral:tRNA from 1 species